rnacentral:misc_RNA from 1 species
GACCGGGAGCUGCGAGCCCUUCUGAGGAGGCGGCGGAGGAGUUCCGCCAUCCUCCAGUUGCUCCAGGGGGUCCAAGUGAACCCGAGGGCUGAACCCAUGGACGAUAGUAUGGACAAUCUGGAUGGUGACAGCUUGGUACUUAUUAAUGCGUUCAAUCAUGCAGUAAUUCUUCAAGGCUCAUUUGAUUCAGAAGAGAACCAGGGGCCCUCGCUCG